UUCUUCUUCUCCUUCCUCACCCUUCUUGACUAACCAUCUCUCUUCCUCUUCCAAUUCUUCUUUCGCUCACCAUUUCUCCUCUAGCCAACGCCUCCAUGAGCAUCCCUUACGGUGUGUGACUCGACGGAUGACGGUUGCACGUCGAUGCAACCCAACAACCGUCGUGCGUCUCUCCCUCGCGUGAUUGGAGCGUCGUGGCUUGCCAACUUCAGAUCCACUAUCGUCGUGCCAUCAAUCUAACCGAACAAUGGCCACUCGUUGUGUGGUUUAACUCACCACUUAUUCCCGGCCACACACAGUUGUUUGAAGCCAUAAUUUUCAUAGGUAGUUGGAUCUUGGAGUUGGAUUUGAUUAUUAGAGGAAUUUUGCCAUUGUACAGCCAUUCAAAAACUCGAAAUUGGGCAUUUUUAGCACAGCUUGGGGGGUUUCGGGGCUGAAAGAGGUUGUGAUCGGAGAUCUGGGAACUUAAGCCUAGGUGAGGAUGUGAACGGAGGAUUGUGAUAUGGCUUCGGGUCUAGCUUAACCUGUGGUGGAUGGCUCUAUGUGCACAUAGGAGCGGUAUGUAGUUACUGUAGUAGGUGCUAAGUAUGCGUGAGCUCUGUUUGGCCGCGUGUUUUCUUGUGGAUAUGGAGCACGUGCGAGCUAUUCCCAGGUCGUAUACUUAGUAUGCUAUCAUGGUUGGAUUGGAUUGGUUGGAGGUUGCCAUAGUGGUGGGUAUUAAAGAUGCGUGAGCUAAAAUUGGCAGCAUGAUUCUUUGUCAUGUGCGAGCUAUCUUUGGCCAUAUUUUUAGAUGCCUUGCCAUAGUUGGAUCGACUACAGGUAGCGAUCAAAGGCCAAGUGUUGGUUGAAUUCUCGUCAUUGAUUAUAGGUCUCCACUAUUCUUUUGUAUGUAUAUAGUUACCCUUUGUAAUACAUCAUGGAGUGGUUAGAUGUAGAGAGAGUAAGGUUAAGAACUUGUGAUUGAGGAGAUCCCUCUUUAAAUUGAACUAUUUUGUAUGACAUAUCUAGUUUUAACAUGAUUUUCUGCCUGAAACUCUGAAAUUGUAUGGAUAAGUGUGUGGUGAGACACAUUUGUUUUGUUCAAAAUUAGAGUAAAACCACAAUUUGAGUGCAA